AACUUGACUGUAGGGGGCGAAAGACUAAUCGAACCAUCUAGUAGCUGGUUCCCUCUGAAAUUUCUCUCAGGAUAGCAGGAACAGAUUAUACAGUUUUUAUCAGGUAAAGCUAAUGAUUAGUGGACUCGGGGGUCUGAGACUCUCGACCAAUUCUCAAACUUUAAUUGGUAAGAACCUUUAGUUAUCUUAAUUGAACUGAAGGGAUGAAUGUAUUGUUCUUAGUGGGCCAUUUUUGGUAAGCAGAACUGGCGAUGAGGGGAUGAACCUAACGUUGAGAUAAGGUGCCCAAAUUCACGCUCAUGAGACACCAUAAAAAGGUGUUGGUUUAGUUUAAAACAGCCGGACUGUGGGCCAUGGAAGUCGGCAGCAGCUAAGGAGUGUGUAACAACUCACCAGCCGGAAUUAA
rnacentral:rRNA from 1 species